UGGGGAAUAUUGGACAAUGGGCGAAAGCCUGAUCCAGCCAUGCCGCGUGUGUGAAGAAGGUCUUCGGAUUGUAAAGCACUUUAAGUUGGGAGGAAGGGCAGUUACCUAAUACGUAUCUGUUUUGACGUUACCGACAGAAUAAGCACCGGCUAACUCUGUGCCAGCAGCCGCGGUAAUACAGAGGGUGCAAGCGUUAAUCGGAAUUACUGGGCGUAAAGCGCGCGUAGGUGGUUUGUUAAGUUGGAUGUGAAAUCCCCGGGCUCAACCUGGGAACUGCAUUCAAAACUGACAAGCUAGAGUAUGGUAGAGGGUGGUGGAAUUUCCUGUGUAGCGGUGAAAUGCGUAGAUAUAGGAAGGAACACCAGUGGCGAAGGCGACCACCUGGACUGAUACUGACACUGAGGUGCGAAAGCGUGGGGAGCAAACAGGAUUAGAUACCCGGGUAGUCCCUGAGCGGGCUGGCAAGGCGCAU
rnacentral:rRNA from 1 species